rfam:Ictidomys tridecemlineatus contig070296, whole genome shotgun sequence.
GGGAUUAUGGCUCAGUGGUAGAGUGCUUGCCUGAUAUGUAUGAGGUACUGGGUUCGAUUCUCAGUACUA